AGUCAUAUGCUUGUCUCAAAGAUUAAGCCAUGCAUGUCUCAGUACAAGCCGAACUUAAGGUGAAACCGCGAAAGGCUCAUUAAAUCAGUUAUGGUUCCUUAGACCGUACCACGCUUACAUGGAUAACUGUGGUAAUUCUAGAGCUAAUACAUGAGUAUAGAGCUCCGACCGGAGACGGAAGGAGUGCUUUUAUUAGACCAAAGCCAAUCGGCGGCGGGGUUCGCGCCUCGUCGUCGUUUCAUUUGGUGACUCUGAAUAACUAUGCUGAUCGCACGGUCUCGAACCGGCGACGUGUCUUUCAAAUGUCUGCCUUAUCAACUGUCGAUGGUAGGCUCUGCGCCUACCAUGGUUAUAACGGGUAACGGGGAAUCAGGGUUCGAUUCCGGAGAGGGAGCCUGAGAAACGGCUACCACAUCCAAGGAAGGCAGCAGGCGCGCAAAUUACCCACUCCCGGCACGGGGAGGUAGUGACGAAAAAUAACGAUACGGGACUCAUCCGAGGCCCCGUAAUCGGAAUGAGUACACUUUAAAUCCUUUAACGAGGAUCAAUUGGAGGGCAAGUCUGGUGCCAGCAGCCGCGGUAAUUCCAGCUCCAAUAGCGUAU
rnacentral:rRNA from 1 species